rnacentral:misc_RNA from 1 species
GUGAAAUUCUCAUGUUGCUUUUCUCGCUCCUUAUCCUUUUCUAUUUUAUCUCUAUCCUUAUCAUGCUCCUUAUCCCUUUCCAGUCUUUCUUUCUCCCUUUCCAGUCUUUCUUUCUCUCUUUCAAGUCGUUCCUUCUCUCUUGCACGUCCACGUUCAACUUCACUUUCACGUCGUUCCUUCUCCCUUACACGUCCUCGUUCACUUUCAAGUUCUUUAUCUAAAUCUUUA